rnacentral:rRNA from 1 species
UACGUAGGGGGCAAGCGUUGUCCGGAUUCAUUGGGCGUAAAGAGCUCGUAGGCGGCUUGUCACGUCGGUUGUGAAAGCCCGGGGCUUAACCCCGGGUCUGCAGUCGAUACGGGCAGGCUAGAGUGUGGUAGGGGAGAUCGGAAUUCCUGGUGUAGCGGUGAAAUGCGCAGAUAUCAGGAGGAACACCGGUGGCGAAGGCGGAUCUCUGGGCCAUUACUGACGCUGAGGAGCGAAAGCGUGGGGAGCGAACAGG